GCAAUGGGCGAAAGCCUGACGGAGCAACGCCGCGUGAGUGAUGAAGGUUUUCGGAUCGUAAAGCUCUGUUGCCAGGGAAGAACGCUUGAGAGAGUAACUGCUCUUGAGGUGACGGUACCUGAGAAGAAAGCCCCGGCUAACUACGUGCCAGCAGCCGCGGUAAUACGUAGGGGGCAAGCGUUGUCCGGAAUUAUUGGGCGUAAAGCGCGCGCAGGCGGCUUUUUAAGUCUGGUGUUUAAUCCCGAGGCUCAACUUCGGGUCGCACUGGAAACUGGGGAGCUUGAGUGCAGAAGAGGAGAGUGGAAUUCCACGUGUAGCGGUGAAAUGCGUAGAGAUGUGGAGGAACACCAGUGGCGAAGGCGACUCUCUGGGCUGUAACUGACGCUGAGGCGCGAAAGCGUGGGGAGCAAACAGGAUUAGAUACCUGGUAGUCCACGCCGUAAACGAUGAAUGCUAGGUGUUAGGGGUUUCGAUACCUUGGUGCCGAAGUUAACACAUUAAGCAUUCCGCCUGGGAGUACGGUCGCAAGACUGAAACUCAAAGGAAUUGACGGGGACCGCACAAGCAGUGGAGUAUG
rnacentral:rRNA from 1 species